UCUCGAAGGAGAGGGGGCGGCCGCGCGGGUCGGUAGGGGUCCGGCGCCGCCGCGGCGGCUGUGCCCCUCGGCCUCUCGCCGUGUGAGCGCCCUUCGGAGGCCUGACUUUUCCCCUCCCCUGCCAGGCUUUUUCCGGGCUUUCCAGUGGUCCGCGGCGGGCUGGGGUCUCGAGUCGUGGCACCCGGGGGCAGCUUCGCGACUCUCCUUGGCCACACCUGGCAAGGAUGCCGUGCCUCCAGAUGGUGGGGAGCAGCGGCCUGGAGCGAGCGCGCGCGGCUCCACGCCGCCCCAUCCCACACCCGCGAUAUGGCCCUGGGGCAGCCCUCCGGAUCGCCCGGGAAGAGGGCCAAGGCUGGACAAAGGGAACAGCCCCGCCACAAGCCCACCUGGUGCAGCGGGUCAGCACCAGAUCGCAAGCCCUCUACCAGAGCCUGAAGCCAAGGGUCAGCGGCCCCCUACCGAGACCCAGCACACCGGCCAGAAGACCCUGCCCCCAACACCAGGCCUCUGCAGCUCCCUGAGACCCCGAGCAGGGUCUCCCCAGGCCGCUGCACCUAGUGGGGGAGGCCUGGGGGCGAAGGUUUGGAGAGAGGCACCCCUGGCCCUACCCCUGCCUUCUACCCCCUCCCCCGGCAGGGAGGGCCCUGGGCUCAGACUCCUGCCCAGCUUUGUGGGGGACUCAGGGGGCAGAAAGUGACAGUGAUCCAGGGACCCCCGCGUCCUCACCCCGAGCUCCCUGGGGCCUCGACCAGCUUUCUCACACCGGUUUCCCGGGGAAGCUGAGGUCGCUGCGGCCGCUCUGCCCGAGGGGUAGGGAUGGGACAGUGGUCAGAGGAUACCAUGCUCUACGGUGGCCCAGGUCUCCACUGCCAGGUCUUCUGGGCCAGAGAGCAGCCAGGUGACCAUUCCACCUGCCCACUCCAGAGAGGAGCUGGGCAGAAACGGGACUGUUCAGAGCUUUUGCAGCUGGUGGCGGGUAGGGGAGAGAAUCCAGUUAGAUCCAGCCUGAGGCCUCCCUGCGGAGCCUGAUACCCAUGCCCUUAGCCUGUUCUGGGGCUGGGGGCUCACCAGGCUGAGCUCUUCCUGGUCUGGCAGCUCCUGGCUAGGAGGAAGGGCCAGGCAUGGCGUUGCCAGCUUUGCUGCUCCCCCACCUGGGCAUUUUCUCUGUGCAGGGCAUCUUUGGGCAAAGAGCAGGGGAGGGGAGGGGGAGGGCUGUGCCCUACGUGUCCCUGUGCAGGAUCUGCUGAGCUGCCGCAGGAUUGGGGAGGGCAGAUGUGAGAAAGCUCUGCUUCCCAGCUGAGGGUUCUGGGCUGGUGAAGCAAACUGUCCCCAGAGAUCACGGGGGACCCCCACCCUUCACCCCACAUCAGGCCCCAUACCCACCUCUGCAGCUGCCCCUGCCAGUGGCCAGCGGGGUCGCCGUCUGUUGUCCUCCGAAGGCCCAGUCCCAGGGCUUAGCUCUGUGGAGGGGCUGGAGCUCCCUCUGCCACCAGCCACAGCCUCUGAGGAAGGUGGAUGGAUCCUGGGCCCCUUCCCCUGGCCCCAUAGAGACAGCCCAUCUCAGAUCCUGGACCUACCAGCCCUGAGAUCCCCUAGCCAGAGCCCCCGACAGCUCCCUGCCCAGAAGUAGGAGCUAAUGGGGUUUGCAGGAGCAUCUGGGGCUGCUGUCGCUCCUGCCCCAUUAGGGAAGGUGAGGGGGAAGUCAAGGUCAGUGCCCACUUUCCCCAGGGAGCCGAGCGUGGCAUGAGUGGCCUCCCUCCCACCGGAAAGGGCACGUGGGCAAGACCUCAAAGACCAGAUGGCCCACCUUUAAGCUGCUGCCCACCCACCAGGGUAGCUCCCUCACUGCGCAGAGACCCUCCUUCUGGCUGGAGCCAGCUUCCUAGGCAAUUGCACUGGAAACCAGAGGAUGGAGCCCCGACUGUGCAGACACGGAAGCCAGUGCUGGGCACAGCCAGGCUGGAGUGAAGACAGGGGAGGGGCAGCAGACAGAGAGGGACCAACAAGUGAGCUGAAGGCAAACCCAGUGCCCCCACUCCCCACACCACAUCGCGGGCGGGUGGCACCUCCCUGCCCCACGCUUGUCCUGACUCCCAGUGCUAGCGCCUCCAUUUCCCUUUGGGGGCCUCUAUUCUCUGCUCUCAGGCUGUGGGGCUUUGGGUGGGCUCACCCACCUCACCCAGGGGCUGCUGGAGCACCCAGGCCUGGCCAGUCAGACCGUCCCCUUGGCCUCAAGGCCUUUGCCGAAGCUUACGGGAAAGUGUGGUUGCUCUACUGGCAGAAGUAGACGUCCAGCUGCUGAUCGAAAGGGCACGCGGAUUUGAUCCCUGGUCGGGAAACUAAGAUCCCACGUGCCACGGGGCAACUAAGCCUGCACACCGCAACUACUAAGCCUGCGAGCCACAACUAGAGAGAAACCGACGCACCGCAACGGAAGAUCCCGCAUGCCGCAACUAAGACCCAACGCAGCCAAAUAAAUAAAUAAAUAUAAAAUUUUUUUUAAAAAAAGGAAAAAAAGAAACCUGCCAGAGUAUUUGCACCAAGUGUCUGGAUCCAACAUUGCCUGAAGCAAGCCCACCCCUGGACUUCAAAGGCACAGGGGCCAGGAAAGCCCCUCUGUGCAGACACUGGGACACCAGCUGUCUGACCAUUGCAACUCAGAGGCCCACCCAGCGCGUGGCCUGCCGGCCCCGCUGACCUUGCCAACUCCACCUCCCACCCUUCCACCCUGACUCCUUCCCUUUCCUAGAACCCCCAGGUCACUCCCUCUGCCUGACAUCCCCUCCCUGAAGACCUGAGCAUCUUCCCCCAGCCCCACCCGCCCCCCACCCUGGCUGGGGUCCAGAGGCCCGCCCCCUUCCCCAGCUGUGGACUGUGGACACAGACUGAACCCCAGGGCUCAGCUUCCUGCAAGGGGCCAGCAAGGUGAGGCAGAGACCACAAGGAAGGAGAAACCAUUUCUGUGCAACAAAAACGUGGUUCCCUGGGUCUCCUGUUGGGUGAGCAAGCGGGCACUCGACGUUGGGAGGUCCAGCUGCGGCUGGCCCUGAGCAUGGGGCGGGCAAGGAGGGGAGAGGCCUCCAUCCAGCUCCCGCAGGCCCGGCUAGGACACACUUCCCUGUCUGAAGGGCCACUUUCCGGAGGUCACCAGCUGUGUGGUUAUUUCCUGGACGUUUUCUUUAAAUCCCUUUACAGGAAACAUCAUAUCACAACCACAAAUAAAAGAAAAGUCAAUGUCAGACGGUGUUGGCUUCUGGGCUUCCUGCUUGGAGGCUUCAGACUGUCAAAGUGUGUCCGCAGAAGCCUCCAUGGCCUUCACCCUCUCCAAACCCCGCCUGCCGCCCGAGCCCAGCAGGCUGCUGGCCGCCCCCGGCAUCCCUGUAGCCCCCCCGACUCGGAGAGGGGGCGUACAGGUGACUUCACCCAGGUGGCAUCUCACUGGCGGGGGUCCGGGCUCCAGGACCUGUGGGAAAUGGUUCUGCCCAGCAGGGGAGGUUGGACCAGCCUGAAGCGACAACAGCAACUUCCAGGGAACCCCCUGCCUCCAGACAAGGUGAUCCCCCCAGCCCAUCUGGGCUGGGAGAAAGAAGCUGGUGUUGGGCCGCUCGGACCCUGAGCACGGAGGUUACGGGGACACGCGGGUGAUCACUGUGUGGGUUGUUUGAAAAGGAGAGGCUUCGGGGUGGCAGCUCAUUCUCGGCCCCUCCCGGCGGC